rnacentral:rRNA from 1 species
AUGCAGUCGAACGGUAACAGGAAGCAGUCAUUGCUGCUUCGCUGACGAGUGGCGGACGGGUGAGUAAUGUCUGGGGAUCUGCCUGAUGGAGGGGGAUAACUACUGGAAACGGUAGCUAAUACCGCAUAACGUCGCAAGACCAAAGAGGGGGACCUUCGGGCCUCUUGCCAUCAGAUGAACCCAGAUGGGAUUAGCUAGUAGGUGGGGUAACGGCUCACCUAGGCGACGAUCCCUAGCUGGUCUGAGAGGAUGACCAGCCACACUGGAACUGAGACACGGUCCAGACUCCUACGGGAGGCAGCAGUGGGGAAUAUUGCACAAUGGGCGCAAGCCUGAUGCAGCCAUGCCGCGUGUAUGAAGAAGGCCUUCGGGUUGUAAAGUACUUUCAGCGGGGAGGAAGGCGAUGCGGUUAAUAACCGUGUCGAUUGACGUUACCCGCAGAAGAAGCACCGGCUAACUCCGUGCCAGCAGCCGCGGUAAUACGGAGGGUGCAAGCGUUAAUCGGAAUUACUGGGCGUAAAGCGCACGCAGGCGGUCUGUCAAGUCGGAUGUGAAAUCCCCGGGCUCAACCUGGGAACUGCAUCCGAAACUGGCAGGCUUGAGUCUUGUAGAGGGGGG